rnacentral:misc_RNA from 1 species
GUUCAAAGGGACUAUUGUGAUCCGAUGGCCAUUGAGGAGGCAGGGAGGCAAUAAUUGAUCCAAUUGUUGUUUGUGAGAAUUAGUGAGAACCAAAGGAAUAGUGGACGCUAUAAGAAAGUAGAACAAUCCCAUAGAACAACACUAUAAAUCACAUCAUGAAUUUUGCCUAGUGAAGAGAAAGCCAAAGGGGCUUGAAGGAGAG